rnacentral:rRNA from 1 species
CCUACGGGAGACAGCAGUGGGGAAUAUUGCACAAUGGGGGAAACCCUGAUGCAGCGACGCCGCGUGAGUGAAGAAGUAUUUCGGUAUGUAAAGCUCUAUCAGCAGGGAAGAAGAAAGACGGUAGCUGACUAAGAAGCCCCGGCUAACUACGUGCCAGCAGCCGCGGUAAUCGGUAGGGGGCAAGCGUUAUCCGGAUUUACGGGGUGUAAAGGGAGCGUAGACGGCUGUGCAAGGCUGAAGUGAAAGCCCAGGGCUCAACCCUGGGACUGCUUUGGAAACUGUGGAGCUAGAGUGCAGGAGAGGUAAGUGGAAUUCCUAGUGUAGCGGUGAAAUGCGUAGAUAUUAGGAGGAACACCAUUGGCGAAGGCGGCUUACUGGACAGUAACUGACGUUGAGGCUCGAAAGCGUGGGUAGCAAACAGGAUUAGAUACCCUAGUAGUC